AAUAGCCUGACGGCUGAACCAGCAACUUGGAGGAAUGAAUAGCGAAAGCUAAUUGUACUAUAGAGUACAAUAUCGAUUUAAUCGAAUAAAAUUCUGGGUAGAGUUAUGAUUAUGACAUUGUCUACCUAUAUUUCUUGACCAAAUUACGUGCCAGCAGUCGCGGUAAUACGUAGAAGAUAAGUGUUAUUCAUCUUUAAUAGGUUUAAAGGGUACCUAGACAGCAAAUCAAGCCUUUGUUAAGGGACUAUUUUGCUAGAGUUACUUGUGAGGGGGCAUGAAAGUACUGUCGGUGUAGAGAUGAAAUUCUUUAAUACCCUUUUUCUUACGAAAACUAAUGGCACAGAUUUAGGCAAAAGCAUCCCCUUAUGUGAUAACUGACGUUGAAGGACGAAGGCUUUGUGUAGCGAACAGGAUUAGAUACCCCAAUAGUCGAAGCAGAAAAUGAUGAGUGUCAUAGAUUAGACGUAAAUUUAUUCUAUAAAUUAAAGUGUAAGCACUCCACCUCAAGAGUAAUUUGGCAACAUUGGAACUGAAAUCAUUAGACCGUUUCUGAAACCAGUAGUGAAGUAUGUUGUUUAAUUAGCUGCUACGCAAAAAACCUUACCACAAUUUGAAUAUUUAUAUUUCAUUUAGCUAAAUAAUAGCAAAUAAAUAUGUUUACAAGCGCUGCACGGCUGUCUUCAGUUAAUGUCGCGAGACUUUGGUUAGUUCCAUUAAAUUAACGUAAACCCUUACUUUAUUUCUACAUAA
rnacentral:rRNA from 1 species